rnacentral:rRNA from 1 species
GUUGGCGGUGUGCCUUAUGCAUGCAAGUUGAACGGGAAUACAGCUUUCGGGCUAUAUUCUAGUGGCGAACGGCUGAGUAACGCGUAAGUAACCUGCCUUCAAGUGGGGGAUAACUUGCCGAAAGGCAAGCUAAUACCGCAUCAGGUAACCAAAAGGAUGUUUGGUUAUUAAAGCCUUCGGGCGCUUGGAGAGGGGCUUGCGUCUGAUUAGCUAGUUGGCGAGAUAAUGGCUCACCAAGGCAAUGAUCAGUAGCUGGUCUGAGAGGACGGUCAGCCAGAUAGGGACUGAGACACGGCCCUAACUCCUACGGGAGGCAGCAGCAGGGAAUAUUGGACAAUGGGCGAAAGCCUGAUCCAGCGACACCGCGUGAGGGAAGAAGGCCUUCGGGUUGUAAACCUCUUUUAUCUGGGAAGAAAUUUGACGGUACCAGAGGAAUAAGCCUCGGCUAAUUACGUGCCAGCAGCCGCGGUAAAACGUGGGAGGCAAACGUUAUCCGGAUUUACUGGGUGUAAAGGGAGUGUAGGCGGUUCUUUAAGUCAGGUGUGAAAUCUUUUGACUUAAUCAAAAGAAGUCAUUUGAAACUGGGGAACUUGAGGGCAGCAGAAGGAAACGGAAUUCCCAGUGUAGCGGUGAAAUGCGUAGAUAUUGGGAAGAACACCAGCGGCGAAGGCGGUUUCCUAGGUUGCUCCUGACGCUGAGGCUCGAAAGCGUGGGUAGCGAAGCGGAUUAGAUACCCGCGUAGUCCACGCCCUAAACAGUGGACACUAGAUAUGGGGAGUAUCGACCCUUCUCGUGUCGAAGCUAACGCCUUAAGUGUCCCACCUGGGGACUACGAUCGCAAGGUUAAAACUCAAGGAAUUGA